GACGAACGCUGGCGGCGUGCUUAACACAUGCAAGUCGAACGGACAGGCCCUGCUUUUGUGGGGUGCUCGAGUGGCGAACGGGUGAGUAACACGUGAGUAACCUGCCCUUGACUUUGGGAUAACUUCAGGAAACUGGGGCUAAUACCGGAUAGGAGCUCCUGCUGCAUGGUGUGGGUUGGAAAGUUUCGGCGGUUGGGGAUGGACUCGCGGCUUAUCAGCUUGUUGGUGGGGUAGUGGCUUACCAAGGCUUUGACGGGUAGCCGGCCUGAGAGGGUGACCGGCCACAUUGGGACUGAGAUACGGCCCAGACUCCUACGGGAGGCAGCAGUGGGGAAUAGUGCACAAUGGGCGGAAGGCUGAUGCAGCAACGCCGCGUGCGGGAUGACGGCCUUCGGGUUGUAAACCGCUUUCGCCUGUGACGAAGCGUGAGUGACGGUAAUGGGUAAAGAAGCACCGGCUAACUACGUG
rnacentral:rRNA from 1 species